rnacentral:rRNA from 1 species
AUGGCACUGGUGCAGACAUAUGGGAAGCCUGACAUCUUUUUGACUAUGACAUACAAUCCUAGCUGGGAGGAGAUACUGAAUGAGCUGCUUCCUGGCCAAACAUCCCAGGACCGACCAGAUCUUGUCGCACGCGUGUUCAGGGCCAAGCUGGAGACCAUGAAAGAGAUUUUCAAAAAGCACAUCCUUGGUGUUGUGGUAGCGCAUGUGUAUGUCGUCGAGUUCCAGAAGAGGGGCCUC